rnacentral:rRNA from 1 species
GACGAACGCUGGCGGCGUGCUUAACACAUGCAAGUCGAACGGUGAUGCUCCAGCUUGCUGGAGUGGAUCAGUGGCGAACGGGUGAGUAACACGUGAGCAACCUGCCCCAGACUCUGGAAUAAGCGCUGGAAACGGCGUCUAAUACUGGAUACGAAACUGGCCCGCAUGGGCAUGGUUUGGAAAGUUUUUCGGUUUGGGAUGGGCUCGCGGCCUAUCAGCUUGUUGGUGAGGUAAUGGCUCACCAAGGCGACGACGGGUAGCCGGCCUGAGAGGGCGACCGGCGACAAUGGGACUGAGACACGGACCAGAAGCCUACGGGAGGCAGCAGUGGGGAAUAUUGCACAAUGGGCGAAAGCCUGAUGCAGCGACGCCGCGUGAGGGAUGACGGCCUUCGGGUUGUAAACCUCUUUCAGCAGGGAAGAAGCGAAAGUGACGGUACCUGCAGAAGAAGCACCGGCUAACUACGUG